UACGGAGGAGGCAAGCGUUAUCCGGAAUUAUUGGGCGUAAAGCGUCCGCAGGUGGCACUUCAAGUCUGUCGUCAAAGACUGGGGCUUAACCCUGGAAAGGCGGUGGAAACUGAAGCGCUAGAGUGCGGUAGGGGUAGAGGGAAUUCCCGGUGUAGCGGUGAAAUGCGUAGAUAUCGGGAAGAACACCAAUGGCGAAAGCACUCUGCUGGGCCGAAACUGACACUCAGAGACGAAAGCUAGGGGAGCGAAUGGG
rnacentral:rRNA from 1 species